ACAGGGAUUGCCCUAGUAACGGCGAGUGAAGCGGCAACAGCUCAAAUUUGAAAUCUGGCUCUUUUAGGGUCCGAGUUGUAAUUUGCAGAGGGCGCUUUGGCUUUGGCAGCGGUCCAAGUUCCUUGGAACAGGACGUCACAGAGGGUGAGAAUCCCGUACGUGGUCGCUAGCUAUUGCCGUGUAAAGCCCCUUCGACGAGUCGAGUUGUUUGGGAAUGCAGCUCUAAAUGGGAGGUAAAUUUCUUCUAAAGCUAAAUAUUGGCCAGAGACCGAUAGCGCACAAGUAGAGUGAUCGAAAGAUGAAAAGCACUUUGGAAAGAGAGUCAAACAGCACGUGAAAUUGUUGAAAGGGAAGCGCUUGCAGCCAGACUUGCUUGCAGUUGCUCAUCCGGGCUUUUGCCCGGUGCACUCUUCUGUAGGCAGGCCAGCAUCAGUUUGGGCGGUGGGAUAAAGGUCUCUGUCACGUACCUCUCUUCGGGGAGGCCUUAUAGGGGAGACGACAUACCACCAGCCUAGACUGAGGUCCGCGCAUCUGCUAGGAUGCUGGCGUAAUGGCUGUAAGCGGCCCGUCUUGAAACACGGACCAAGGAGUCUAACAUCUAUGCGAGUGUUUGGGUGUCAAGCCCGAGCGCGUAAUGAAAGUGAACGGAGGUGGGAACCCGCAAGGGUGCACCAUCGACCGAUCCUGAAGUUUUCGGAAGGAUUUGAGUAAGAGCAUGGCUGUUGGGACCCGAAAGAUGGUGAACUAUGCUUGAAUAGGGUGAAGCCAGAGGAAACUCUGGUGGAGGCUCGCAGCGGUUCUGACGUGCAAAUCGAUCGUCAAAUUUGGGCAUAGGGGCG
rnacentral:rRNA from 1 species